GGCCUACCAUGGUGGUAACGGGUAACGGGGUGUUAGGGCACGACACCGGAGAGGGAGCCUGAGAAACGGCUACCACAUCCAAGGAUGGCAGCAGGCGCGCAAAUUACCCAAUCCCGACACGGGGAGGUAGUGACAAUAAAUAACAAUACGGGGUUCUUUCGGAUCUCGUAAUUGGAAUGAGUACAAUUUAAAUCUCUUAACGAGGAACAAUUGGAGGGCAAGUCUGGUGCCAGCAGCCGCGGUAAUUCCAGCUCCAAUAGCGUAUAUUAAAGUUGUUGCAGUUAAAAAGCUCGUAGUUGAAUUUCGGGAUCAGUAGGUUGGUCAUGCCUACGGUAUGUACUGGCUUUACUGGUUCCUCCUUCUUGAUGAUCUGUAAUGUCAUUAAUUUGGUGUUGCAGGGAGUCAGGACUGUUACUUUGAAAAAAUUAGAGUGUUUAAAGCAGGCAUACGCUUGAAUACAUUAGCAUGGAAUAAUGAAAUAGGACGUUCGAACCUAUUUUGUUGGUUUCUAGGAUUGACGUAAUGAUUAAUAGGGAUAGUUGGGGGCAUUAGUAUUCAAUUGUCAGAGGUGAAAUUCUUGGAUUUAUUGAAGACUAACUACUGCGAAAGCAUUUGCCAAGGAUGUUUUCAUUAAUCAAGAACGAAAGUUAGGGGAUCGAAGACGAUCAGAUACCGUCGUAGUCUUAACCAUAACUAUGCCGACUANGGAUCGGAUGAUGUUAUUUUUAAUGACUCAUUCGGCGCCUUACG
rnacentral:rRNA from 1 species